UCUCCUGAACCUUGGAAAGUCAGGGCUAAAAUUUGAACCUGGAUCCUUUUGGCUUUAUUUAUUUAUUUUAUGUAUAUGAAUAGACUGUCAUUGACACACCAGAAGAAAGCAUUGGAUCCCAUUACAGAUGGUUGUGACCCACCAGGUGGUUGCUGGGAAUUGAACUCAAGACCCCUGGAAGAGCAGGCAGUGGUCUUAUAUGUUGUGCCAUCUCUCCAGUCCAACCUGGAUCCUUUAAACCCAGGAUCCAAGUUCUUUUUGCUGAGACUGUAAGCUUUGUAGAAGCAAGCCAAUUUCACAGCACCUUGGAACCCUUGAUCAAGAAAGAAGACGGCCUCUCCCAUCCGAAGCAUCACAGAAGGACCAGGUGGAAUAGCCAUUUUCAUAGACCAAAAUGGUAGAAUAUUAGCCACUAUUAAGGCUCACCAGAGUCAAGGCUGGCUGAAUUAAAUCCUGCCUCCCUCAUGACCCAGAAAGAUUUCAAGAGGCUCUUGAAAUGACCGCAACAGAGAUUAGAUACUGAGUCAGUCAUGUAUUUCCUCCUGGGCAACCAGAAAAGCCACAACUUGCAGUUAGUGUAAGGUCAUAAGCCUGGGUAUUAAACAAAGAGAUAUUAAGCAAAAGGGAUGGAUACUGCUUUCAGGAUUGCCCACCAACUCAUGGGCAUGAUUGUUAUGGCAACCCUAGAGCCCAUAUGUUGUAAAAGGUAACCUUAUAAGCUGGAAGAGCCUAGAUGAUGUGUCGUCUUCUAACCUGUGAUAGAGUGAAUGUGAGUGAGAACAUACAUGUAUUGUGUUUAUCUCUCAGUACUUGGAGAAUGUUUGUUAUAGAGGCUAGCAUGAUCUAUCCUGACUAAUACAGAAUGAGAAUGCUGUCAAUUGCACAUAACAGAAAAGGGAAGAAGUACAUUAUAAACACUUACGUGACUAUUGUUAUGUGGAAACAUAACAAGGAGUUCAGGAAUAAGAAGCUCCACUACCCAAUUUGAAGGACACAGUCUGUCUUUCUGUUCAGUUUUCCUUAGGGUAUUGGCUCUCAUUCUCACACCAGUCAACACAUCCAGAGUGGUUAUUAAAUGCCUGGCACUUCAUCUGCAACUCAGGUAGGAAAAAAGCAAAGGACGGGGCAAAAGGAUAAGAGCCAUUGAGUCUUCCCCACUCAGCCAACUCUAAGGUUUCACUAACCAGGCCAGCAAAAAUGCCAGUGACUGACUGACUAGUGCAGACAAUACAGGGCUCUGCCUUCCCAAUGCGUUCACAAUUGGUCUCCUGGUUCCGUGGGACUAGCUUACCUAAGACCGACAAAUCUCUACAGGCUCCUGAGCAAAAGAUGAGCGUCAUAGCUACUAUGUGGUCAACAUUAGCCCUCCUCUGCACCUAACACCUCAUGGCUGCCCCCUUACUAAGAAGGGCUUCACUUAAGCUCAGCUGAUCUUUGUCUUUUCAGUCUUUUGCCCUCAGCUCCAUCCACCUCAGAGCAUCAUUUCCUCAGCUGCCCAGAGGCCUGGCUCCCAUGCAGAGGAUUGCUAACAGGGUGAUGAUCCUGAGUAGCCUGAGACAGCACAAUGAGAGGUGGCACUAUGCCAGGACCCACUAUCAUCACAACGCUCCUUUGUUAGUGAGGAUACUGCUGACAGCCUCCAGUAGAUCAUUGGAAAUCAGCUGAGAUGGGUAAAAAUUAGUCUGCUUGAUGCUUGUGAGGGUAGGGAAGAGGCUCGAUGGGAAAGAAGAUGGUGAAAAGCAAGCUGAAAGGAGGCCUUGGAGGGAAACAAUUUGAGUACUAACAAAGCUUUAUACGCUGAGAUACUCCUGGAAAAAAAACAAACAAACAAACAGAUAAAUCAGCAUCGUUGGCCUAGAGAUGACCUUGGAACUGCCUGGCUUCCGUGCUGCUCGACACAAGAGAUGCUGAGUCAGGGAUGACUCCAAACCUCCCACAGAAGUGAUGAAACAUCUGCUUGUGACUCUGGCUCCAAAUGUGGCCAUGGACUGAGGCCUGUGGCUAUGGAAACUGGAAACUCACUCUACCACCUGCCCAGUGUCCUCGGUGUCUCAGUUUCUUUAUCCAUAACGUAGACCUAAAGCAGGACCUUCCUCCCAGGGAACUCUGGGAGUGUGAAAGCAAGCCUUGUCUGCUGAUGAAGGCCACAGCCCCGGGUGUUAGGCAUAAGCAAUAUGAAAAGUCAGGUGUUCUACGCAAUGGUCGCUUUCUUUUCUGUCAGUUCUCUCCACCUUGCUCUGUCCAGGUGCCUGAGUUCACUGGGGUUACACUCUAUAGACACCAGCCUGUUCUAAGCAGUCAGCAGAUGUUUAACCUGCCCCCAGCACAGUCCCUGCCUUCAGUAACUCAGGCCCUGGAGGAUGGGCUGGCCCUGUGACUCGCUUCUUAUGAAUAGAACACAUGUGUUAUAAAAGUGAUGCCUUAGGUUAUAAAAA